rnacentral:rRNA from 1 species
CACGUAGGGCGCAAGCGUUGUCCGGAAUUAUUGGGCGUAAAGAGCUCGUAGGCGGUCUGUUACGUCUGCUGUGAAAACCCAGGGCUUAACCCUGGGCUUGCAGUGGAUACGGGCAGACUAGAGGCAGGUAGGGGAGAAUGGAAUUCCCGGUGUAGCGGUGAAAUGCGCAGAUAUCGGGAGGAACACCGAUGGCGAAGGCAGGUCUCUGGGCCACUACUGACGCUGAGAAGCGAAAGCAUGGGGAGCGAACAGG